CAAAUUAUAGUCUGAGUAGACAUCAUUAUUUACAUUAAUGUUUUUAGUUGUGCAAUUCAACUUGAUUUGA
rnacentral:tRNA from 1 species